AUCUUUUUAGUAUAAAUAAGUAUGUAUGGCUUCCAACCAAAAGGACUAGGACUACCCCUAGAAAAGAUA
rnacentral:tRNA from 1 species